rnacentral:piRNA from 1 species
UGGAAAGGAGCCUUGGAUUUUAUUCU